CAUCUACUCCCUCCGUUCCAAAUUACUCGUCGCAGAAAUGGAUGUAUCUAAAAAUUUUAGAUACAUCCAUUUCUGCUACGAGUAAUUUGGAACGGAGGGAGUAUUUC
rfam:Triticum urartu cultivar G1812 contig223779, whole genome shotgun sequence.